ACCCAAUAGAUACCCCGGUAGUCCACGCCGUAAACGAUGUCAACUGGGUGUCGGUAGUUUUACACUAGCGGUGCCGAAAGCUAAACGCGUUAAAGUUGACCGCCUGGGGACUACGGCCGCAAGGCUAAAACUCAAAGGAAUUGACGGGGCCCGCACAAGCAGCGGAGCGUGUGGUUUAAUUCGAUGCGACACGAAGAACCUUACCCGGGUUUGACAUGCAUGUAGUAGUGAAGCGAAAGCGGAACGAGCCUUCGGGCAGCAUGCGCAGGUGUUGCAUGGCUGUCGUCAGCUCGUGUCGUGAGAUGUUGGGUUAAGUCCCGCAACGAGCGCAACCCUUGUUGCCAGUUACACGUGUCUGGCGAGACUGCCGGUAUCAAGCCGGAGGAAGGUGGGGAUGACGUCAAGUCAGCAUGACCCUUAUAUCCGGGGCUACACACACGCUACAAUGGUCGGUACAAAGCGUUGCCAAGCCGCGAGGCGGAGCUAAUCGCACCAAAACCGGCCUCAGUUCGGAUAGGAGGCUGCAACCCGCCUCCUUGAAGUC
rnacentral:rRNA from 1 species